GGGGGUGUAGCUCGGUGGCAGAGCACCUGCUUAGCAUACAUAAUACUCUGAGUUCAAUACUCACCACCCCCA
rfam:Ictidomys tridecemlineatus contig000342, whole genome shotgun sequence.